rnacentral:misc_RNA from 1 species
GAAUACUUCCAGCUAGCUUGUUACCCUUGAGAGAAAAGAACUCAAGUUCAACAAACCCCAUAGAUGAAACCCAUGGAAACAAGUUAAACCCUGAGAUAUUAUUGUAAGAAAGAUCAAGAACUUGGAGGCUAAAGGUUGCAGCGUUAAGCAUUUCUUUACCAGGAGGGUCCAAGAAAUUCUUAGAAAGAUUAAGAGACUUAAGGUUUGAACAAACACCAAAGCUAGAGAUAUCAGAAAUAGGUCCAGAAAUUGUGUUCUCAGCUAGAUCUACGGAGUCUAAAGUAACCCCACAUUGGGAUUUUGCAGCAGAAGUUAAA